CUGCUCGCUUCAGUGGCACAUACACUAAAAUUGGAAUGUCACAGAGAUGAAGAGCGUGGCCCCUGUGCAAGGAUGACAUGCAAAUUUGUGAAGUCUUCCAUAAUUUC
ensembl:snRNA U6 U6 spliceosomal RNA